UUUCAUACUGGCGCCCAAUUUUUUUGCCCAUGUCUCCUACUCUUCGCACGUUUCUUUCUCCCCAUUCUCUCUCUUAAAACACACGCUCACUCUGUGCCCUCGUCGCUCUCUACCCUAGCUAAUCCCUCUUCAGUGCCGCCGCCGACGUCACCCAUUCUCCUUCUUCAGUGCUGCCACCGAAGUCGUAUCUCCAAGCAAGCGUUAGCGCCGCCGCCGUCGCUUCGAGUAUUCAAGAUUUGGGGACAGAUAUUGAGAAACAUCACGAGGUGUGAAGCUUUCUCCACAUAUCCAAGGUCUUAUGACUUAAUUCAUGCCAAUGGGGUUUUCAGUUUGUACAAGGACAAGUUAGCUUUAUCACUUGAUGGAAAUAUCUUUACAUGAUUUGUGUUUGGACAUGUAUUUAUCAAAUCAUUGAAACAAGGGUUCAAGUGUUAUGUAAUCACAUGAUUUUAUUUCUGUGUAAUUAUUCACAUAUCUAUAUUUAUUCUGGAAAUUGAGUUUGAUUUUGAUCCCUAAAGUUCUCAUCCUUUUUUCUAUUCUUCCAAGCACUUUAAUGAACUAAAGACUUUAAUAGAAACUAUUCAGAGCAUCUAUGUGGAAAAAUCAACCGUUGCUAGUUGAACAAGUAGAUUUCAGUAAUCUAUGAUUACUGUCUAAAACACAUUUUCUUUGAUAAGUAAAAUAAAUUGUAUUAAAAAACACUAAAAAAUGGCACAAUUUUUGUACAAAAAACAUGUGUAGAAAAGAGUGUUGCUAAAUGCUUAAACGGUGAAUGCUAUAGAUCACUUGCAGAGUUUGUGUUUUUUUGGAAGAGCUCAUUUUGGUUUCGCUUGUACGAAAUUUCAGUUUGGAUUUCAUUUUCUUACAAUUUUAUUUAAUCCAGGCUGCCCACAAUGUUGGAGGUCAUGUAGUAUGUACUGAUACAAUACAUAAUUCUAUCCUUGGAUGCAGUGUGUCUCGUCCUAGAUAGGUAUAUCCCUUGUUAUGGGUUUUGUUUUGAAGCUUGUUUCCUUUCUUGAAGUCCUUGGUGUUCAUUUUGUUAUAGUCUUUGAAGUUAAGAUUUUACUUCUCAUAUCUUUUAUUUAUGAGAAGUAAAAGCUUUUAUUACAUUAGAUCAAGAGUGUUAUACGAUAUUAAGAUUCUUAUUAGAUUGAAGGGACAAUUUCAUGGGACUGUUACUAGGCUUGUUAUGAUGUAUAUUGUAUUGAAUAUUGGCAGUUAAGAAAUAACAUGUUUAGUAAACGAAAAAAGUUGAAAUGAGAAU